rnacentral:rRNA from 1 species
AUUGAACGCUGGCGGCAGGCCUAACACAUGCAAGUCGAGCGAGCGGCGGACGGGUGAGUAAUGUAUGGGGACUGCCCGAUAGAGGGGGAGAACUACUGGAAACGGUAGCUAAUACCGCAUACUAUCGGAUAACCCAUAUGGGAUUAGCUAGUAGGUGAGGAAAUGGCUCACCUAGGCGACGAUCCAUAGCUGGUCUGAGAGUGUGAUCAGCCACGCUGGGACUGGUACACGGCCCAGACCCCCGGGGAGGAAGCAUGGGGGAAUAUGGCACAAUGGGGGCAAGCCUGAUGCAGCCAUGCCGGGUGUUUUAAGAAGGCUCUAGGGUUGUAAAGUACUUUCAGUCGGGAGGCGUUACCGACAGAAGAAGCACCGGCUAACUCCGUGCCAGCAGCCGCGGUAAUAC